rnacentral:rRNA from 1 species
GAUGAACGCUGGCGGCGUGCCUAAUACAUGCAAGUCGAGCGAACAGACGAGGAGCUUGCUCCUCUGACGUUAGCGGCGGACGGGUGAGUAACACGUGGCUAACCUACCUUUAAGACUGGGAUAACUUCGGGAAACCGGAGCUAAUACCGGAUAAUAUAUUGAACCGCAUGGUUCAAUAGUGAAAGACGGUUUUGUUGUCACUUAUAGAUGGAUCCGCGCCUCAUUAGCUAGUUGGUAAGGUAACGGCUUAUCAAGGCAACGAUGCGUAGCCGACCUGAGAGGGUGAUCGACCACACUGGAACUGAGACACGGUCCAUACUCCUACGGGAGGCAGCAGUAGGGAAUCUUCCGCAAUGGGCGAAAGCUUGACGGAGCAACGCCGCGUGAGUGAUGAAGGUCUUCGGAUCGUAAAACUCUGUUAUUAGGGAAGAACAAAUGUGUAAGUAACUAUGCACGUCUUGACGGUACCUAAUCAGAAAGCCACGGCUAACUACGUG